rnacentral:rRNA from 1 species
GUCCUAGCCUAACGAUGAGCACUUGGUGUGAUCCUUCACGGGUCGUGCCGGAGCUAACGUGUUAAGUGCUCCGCCUGGGAGUACGGUCGCAAGGCUGAACUCAAGGAAUUGACGGGCCCGCACAAGCGGUGGAGCAUGUGGUUCAAUUCGACGCAACGCGAAGAACCUUACCUGGGCUUGAACUGUCGUGGACCGGUUCAGAGAUGAACCUUUCCCGCAAGGGACUGCGGCAGAGGUGCUGCAUGGCUGUCGU